CUGUUUCGACUAGGAGGUCAUCCCGACAUACAAACCCGAUGCAAACUACGAAUACCGAAGAAUGUUAUCACGGGAGACACACGGCGGGUGCUAACGUCCGUCGUGACAAGGGAAACAACCCAGACCGCCAGCUAAGGUCACAAAGUCAUGGUUAAGUAGGAAACGAUGUGGGAAGGCACAGACAGCCAGGAAGUUGGCUUAGAAGCAGCCUUCAUUUAAAGAAAGCGUAAUAGCUCACUGGUCGAGUCGGCCUGCGCGGAAGAUGUAACGGGGCUAAACCAUGCACCGAAGCUGCGGCAGCGACACUAUG
rnacentral:rRNA from 1 species